rnacentral:rRNA from 1 species
CCUACGGGAGGCAGCAGUGAGGAAUAUUGGUCAAUGGACGAGAGUCUGAACCAGCCAAGUAGCGUGAAGGAUGACUGCCCUAUGGGUUGUAAACUUCUUUUAUAUGGGAAUAAAAUGUUCCACGUGUGGGAUUUUGUAUGUACCAUAUGAAUAAGGAUCGGCUAACUCCGUGCCAGCAGCCGCGGUAAUACGGAGGAUCCGAGCGUUAUCCGGAUUUAUUGGGUUUAAAGGGAGCGUAGGUGGAUUGUUAAGUCAGUUGUGAAAGUUUGCGGCUCAACCGUAAAAUUGCAGUUGAAACUGGCAGUCUUGAGUACAGUAGAGGUGGGCGGAAUUCGUGGUGUAGCGGUGAAAUACUUAGAUAUCACGAAGAACUCCGAUUGCGAAGGCAGUUCACUGGACUGCAACUGACAUUGAUGCUCGAAAGUGUGGGUAUCAAACAGGAUUAGAUACCCUGGUAGUC